GAUGAACGCUGGCGGCGUGCCUAAUACAUGCCAGUCGAGCGAACGGACGAGAAGCUUGCUUCUCUGAUGUUAGCGGCGGACGGGUGAGUAACACGUGGAUAACCUACCUAUAAGACUGGGAUAACUUCGGGAAACCGGAGCUAAUACCGGAUGAUAUUUUGAACCGCAUGGUUCAAAAGUGAAAGACGGUCUUGCUGUCACUUAUAGAUGGAUCCGCGCUGCAUUAGCUAGUUGGUAAGGUAACGGCUUACCAAGGCAACGAUGCAUAGCCGACCUGAGAGGGUGAUCGGCCACACUGGAACUGAGACACGGUCCAGACUCCUACGGGAGGCAGCAGUAGGGAAUCUUCCGCAAUGGGCGGAAGCCUGACGGAGCAACGCCGCGUGAGUGAUGAAGGUCUUCGGAUCGUAAAACUCUGUUAUUAGGGAAGAACAUAUGUGUAAGUAACUGUGCACAUCUUGACGGUACCUAAUCAGAAAGCCACGGCUAACUACGUG
rnacentral:rRNA from 1 species